rnacentral:tRNA from 1 species
GUAUAGUUUAACCUAAGACAUUAGAUUGUGGUUCUAAAAAUAGAGGUUAAACUCCUCUUGCCCGCCGAG